rnacentral:rRNA from 1 species
UACGUAGGGACCAAGCGUUGUUCGGAUUUACUGGGCGUAAAGGGCGCGUAGGCGGCGUGGUAAGUCACUUGUGAAAUCUCUGAGCUUAACUCAGAACGGCCAAGUGAUACUGCUGUGCUAGAGUGCAGAAGGGGCAAUCGGAAUUCUUGGUGUAGCGGUGAAAUGCGUAGAUAUCGAGAGGAACACCAGUGGCGAAGGCGGCAUCCUGGACCGGCAUUGACGCUGAGGCGCGAAAGCUAGGGGAGCAAACGGG